rnacentral:tRNA from 1 species
GGGAAUAUAGCUCAGUGGUACAGUAUCUGCCUGGCAAGCAAGAGAUCCUGAGUUCGAUUCCCACUACCCA